rnacentral:rRNA from 1 species
UACGGGGGGAGCAAGCGUUGUUCGGAUUUACUGGGCGUAAAGCGCGUGUAGGCGGUCCGGUAAGUCCGCUGUGAAAGUCGGGGGGCUCAACCCUCGAAUGCCGGUGGAUACUGUCGGGCUAGAGUGCGGAAGAGGCGAGUGGAAUCCUGGUGUAGCGGUGAAAUGCGCAGAUAUCAGGAGGAACACCAAUGCGAAGGCAGCUCGCUGGGACGUUACUGACGCUGGAGACGCGAAAGCGUGGGGAGCAAACAGG